UGCAGUCGAGCGCAGGAAGCAAGUUGAUCCCCUUCGGGGGUGACGCUUGUGGAAUGAGCGGCGGACGGGUGAGUAACACGUGGGCAACCUGCCUGUAAGACUGGGAUAACCCCGGGAAACCGGGGCUAAUACCGGAUAAUACUUUCUUUUGCAUAAAGGAAAGUUGAAAGGCGGCUUCGGCUGUCACUUACAGAUGGGCCCGCGGCGCAUUAGCUAGUUGGUGAGGUAACGGCUCACCAAGGCGACGAUGCGUAGCCGACCUGAGAGGGUGAUCGGCCACACUGGGACUGAGACACGGCCCAGACUCCUACGGGAGGCAGCAGUAGGGAAUCUUCCGCAAUGGACGAAAGUCUGACGGAGCAACGCCGCGUGAGUGAUGAAGGUUUUCGGAUCGUAAAACUCUGUUGUUAGGGAAGAACAAGUUGGGUAGUAACUGACCCAACCUUGACGGUACCUAACCAGAAAGCCACGGCUAACUACGUGCCAGCAGCCGCGGUAAUACGUAGGUGGCAAGCGUUGUCCGGAAUUAUUGGGCGUAAAGCGCUCGCAGGCGGUCCUUUAAGUCUGAUGUGAAAUCUCGCGGCUCAACCGCGAACGGUCAUUGGAAACUGGAGGACUUGAGUACAGAAGAGGAGAGUGGAAUUCCACGUGUAGCGGUGAAAUGCGUAGAGAUGUGGAGGAACACCAGUGGCGAAGGCGACUCUCUGGUCUGUAACUGACGCUGAGGAGCGAAAGCGUGGGGAGCGAACAGGAUUAGAUACCCUGGUAGUCCACGCCGUAAACGAUGAGUGCUAGGUGUUAGGGGGUUUCCGCCCCUUAGUGCUGAAGUUAACGCAUUAAGCACUCCGCCUGGGGAGUACGGCCGCAAGGCUGAACUCAAAAGAAUUGACGGGGGCCCGCACAAGCGGUGGAGCAUG
rnacentral:rRNA from 1 species